rnacentral:misc_RNA from 1 species
UCGUAAAGGGUGCCAGAGUGGUGUUUGGUUUGAUACGGGUGGUUGGCUCCCUGCUUGAGCAGGCACGGCCUCGCGUACAUUCCUUUUCAGUUGUGUGACAAGGCUUGUAUCGUCUUGAUCGUAUAUGUGGGUUUCCUGUGUUGCAUACCUGACCAAAGGAAUCGUCCAGAUCAAAUAAAGUCCCUUUUUCGUCAAGCGUUGCCCUUGUGAUGUCGGACGAACCAAGUAGCACCCUCUUUGAUCCAACCUGUUGAUGAGCAUACGUCGAUGUUUUGGCCAAUUGAGGGUUGUCUGGUCUCUCGGAUAUGGAAGCCAAAGUUGGCAUGGGGUCGUAAGAUCCUUUUAUUGCCCUCGUUGAGCGUUCUCGCUUCUCUAAAACGAUUGCCUUUCACGUAUGGCACGUCCCAGCGUGUUUGGCUACGUCGAAGAGGAAUG